rnacentral:rRNA from 1 species
AACGAACGCUGGCGGCAGGCCUAACACAUGCAAGUCGAGCGCCCGCAAGGGCGCGGCGGACGGGUGAGUAACGCGUGGGAACGUGCCCUUUGCUACGGAAUAGCCUCGGGAAACUGAGAGUAAUACCGUUUGUGCCCUUCGGGGGAGAGAUUUAUCGGCAAAGGAUCGGCCCGCGUUGGAUUAGGUAGUUGGUGGGGUAAUGGCCUACCAAGCCGACGGUCCAUAGCUGGUUUGAGAGGAUGAUCAGCCACACUGGGACUGAGACACGGCCCAGACUCCUACGGGAGGCAGCAGUGGGGAAUCUUAGACAAUGGGCGCAAGCCUGAUCUAGCCAUGCCGCGUGAGCGAUGAAGGCCUUAGGGUUGUAAAGCUCUUUCGUGGGGGAAGAUAAUGACGGUACCCCAAGAAGAAGCCCCGGCUAACUCCGUGCCAGCCGCCGCAGUAAAAC